AGUGUUUGUAUCUCAAAGGUUAGAGUUUAAGCCUUCCAAGUUUAAAAUAAGGGUUCAAAUCCCUUCAUUCACUU
rnacentral:tRNA from 1 species